CAGAGGGGGCAAGCGUUGUUCGGAAUUACUGGGCGUAAAGGGCGCGUAGGCGGCCUGUUAAGUCGAACGUGAAAUCCCCGGGCUCAACCCGGGAACUGCGUCCGAUACUGGCAGGCUCGAAUUCGGGAGAGGGAUGUGGAAUUCCAGGUGUAGCGGUGAAAUGCGUAGAUAUCUGGAGGAACACCGGUGGCGAAGGCGGCAUCCUGGACCGACAUUGACGCUGAGGCGCGAAAGCCAGGGGAGCAAACGGGAUUAGAUACCCCGGUAGUCCUGGCCCUAAACGAUGAAUGCUUGGUGUAGCGGGUAUCGAUCCCUGCUGUGCCGAAGCUAACGCAUUAAGCAUUCCGCCUGGGGAGUACGGUCGCAAGGCUG
rnacentral:rRNA from 1 species